GACCUGCCUACACCUGCACUGACUGUAGAUCCACAGAGUCCUGUGUUCACUGGAGAGAAGGUCACUCUGAAGUGUGAGGUGAAGCCCUCCAGUGGUUGGAGAUAUAAGUGGUAUAAAGAGCAGAGCAGUAAUGUGGUCUUUCAGUCUGAGGGAAACACCUUCAUCAUCACAGCAGUUUCUGGGUCUGAUGAGGGUCGGUACUGGUGUCGAGGAGAGAGAGAACACAGUAAUACCAACACACCAAAAAGCAGAGAUGUGUAUUUGUAUGUAAAAGGAAAUAUCUGUGUCAAAUCAUCAAGUCAUGGAGGUGGAACUACAGUAUCCUUCAAGACAAGCUCAUGAAUAUGUGAAUAUCAGCACAACUGGAAGAUGAUGUCAUAGCCCAGCCCUGACCGGCCAGAACUUUACUGUGGAUGUGUGUUGUCAUUUGUUUAAUUGUUUAAUUUCCAUGUCACAUGUUCUUGGUUCUACUCAUGUUCUAGCUGUUUGUGGUGCUGAUUCCUGAGGCACCAGCUAUGCUGUUUCUGUUCUGUUUUUAAUUUUUAUCUCAUCACAUUUACAAAUAAACUGGAG
ensembl:lncRNA